AUGAAGAACAGAAACAGCAACAGCAGCAGCAACAUCAACAACUACAAUAACAUUAACAACAAUGACAAUAGCAACAGCGACAACGGUGGGACUGCGAAUCUGUUAUCUCUUGCAUGCGCAGCUACAUGUUGGCCUUCACACUCACUCGAGGGAAAAUGGUUAUCAGAAAUACUAGACGACAUCAUGGCUCAUGAAAUGAUGACACAGUCGAGGAUGUGAGCAGCCUCAGAAAAGCGCUAUUUUCUAAAGAAGCAUCAGUUUUAGCGAAUACUACUACUACUACUACCACUACUACUACUACUACUACUACUACUGUUACUUCUUCUACUACUACUACUACUAGCGUUGCCGCUGCUGCUGCUACUACUACUACUACUAUACUAAUACUACGUACGAGAAAGCUUCGGGAGCAUGCACCUACUGGAUGAGGUUGGCGAGUUUGCAGCGCAGCAUCUUGUAAGCAAGUCCACGCCAUCUAGUGGAAGGAUCUGUCGUUGAACCAAACGUCUAGUGAAGGUGCUCGGGAUCUAGCUCGGAGUGGACCUCUGGAUGGAGAAAAACUAGAAAGUGUUCGCGAGUGAGUUGGUCAGUUACACUCUGAAGAAAUGAACUAAGCGAAAUCUCUUGAAAUAUCGAGCGAAAGUUGUUAACUCUUACAUCGCUUCGGUCGUCCACUAUCGCUUGGCCGUUAUGCCUUGUCCCAAGAAUCACCUAACUAGAUUGAAUUGGUUACUCUUUCACGUCUUGUAAGAGGAACAGAUUCUACUAGUCAAGAGUUCUAUUGUCAAUAGCCAGUAGGAGAAUGCGUCCAAAUGACAUCGCAGCAACACGCUAUGAUGGUACUUCUGCAGAGUUUCUCAAAGAACGACGGGGACUAUGCAUAGAGGGGGACAAACAAGGACAGACAAACGGAUUGAGUCGAUUACAUCCACCCCAGUGCGUAACUGGUACUUAAUUUAUCGACCCCGAAAGGAUGAAAGGCAAGGUCGACCUCGGCAGAAUUUGAACUCAGAACGUAACGGCAGACAAAAUACCGAAUGUACGGGAGAUAAUUUCAAACAUUUUUAGGUCUUAAUCUGAUCCCAUCAGCAAAGCUUAGCUAUCGUUGUACUUGUUCAAAUUGUGGUGAAUGAACCACUAAGUAAAUGACUUAGGAAAACAAAAGGUGAAGUUAAUGUUGACGUAAUAAAUGUACGGAGAAUUAAAAGGCUAACUAAAAAUAAAUGUUGAAGAAAAAGUCGGUGCCAGUCAAUGACUAGAAAUAAUUUCAUUUGCCGAAAUAGUGAUGAAAGAAUCACUAAGUAAAUAUACAAGACUGUAGAUUUAUAUAUGUUGGAAAAUA